UACGUAGGGGGCAAGCGUUGUCCGGAUUUAUUGGGCGUAAAGAGCGUGUAGGCGGCUCGAUAAGUCUGCUGUGAAAGUCCAGGGCUCAACCCUGGAAGGCCGGUGGAAACUGUCGGGCUAGAGUCCGGAAGAGGCGAGUGGAAUUCCCGGUGUAGCGGUGAAAUGCGCAGAUAUCGGGAGGAACACCAAUGGCGAAGGCAGCUCGCUGGGACGGUACUGACGCUGAGACGCGAAAGCGUGGGGAGCAACAGG
rnacentral:rRNA from 1 species